AAAGGAUUUCUUCUUGAUCUUGAAAUCGCAAGGUUUCCUUGCCAUAUUUGUCACCGCAAAAACAUCCAUUAUGCUACUGAGAAAGCAUUAGCCGUCCAAAGAAAAUUUUGUACUUAACCUUUGAAAACCACUUCUUCAAUGGAUUUACAAUUUGUUGGUUUCCUGUUUCGCGAGACUGUCGAAUCUUUCGAAUGGAUUUUCAAGGAGUUCCUAAACUGUAUGAUUAAACAUCCGAAGACUAUAAUAACCGAUCAGGACCCUACAAUGAAGAAUGCCAUCACACAACUAUUUCCAAAUACAUUUCAUCGAUUCUGUUUGUGGCACAUCACACAUAAGAUGAGGGACAAAAUUUGAUGUACUUAUCAUGAUCGUUCUGCCAUGGAUAAAUUUCAUGAAUUUCUAAACAAGUCCACCAACAUACAAUCUUUUGAGGAAUCAUGGUCAGCAUGGAUUAACGAAAACGGUCUACAAGAGAAUGAUUGGUUAAAAGACAUCUACAAAAUUCAUUUUCAGUGAUGCCCGGUGUACAUGAUAGACCAUUUCUUCGCAGGAAUGAAAACUAUGCAACGUAGCGAAGGAAUGAACAGUAUAGUCAAAAUGAAAAUAAGAUUACAUUACACACUACUGAAAUUUUAUUCUAAAUUUGAAUACGCCCUACUAUCCCUACGUGAAAAAGAAAACUCAAAGGAUCAUCAUGGUCAGUUUGCACCACAAAAAACAUUGACUCCAUUGGUCAUUGAACGACACAUCUGUGGAUUGUAUACUCAUGAGAUUUUCAUUGACUUUCAAGAACAGGCAAUUCGUAGUUUGCACUACUUCUUUAGGCCUCAAGACCUACAUAAAAGGGUAAGCUCAUAAAAAAACAUUACUUAUAAUGUUUCUUUAACAUACUACGAAUCACUGGACUACUUACUUUCCCUCCGUGCAUCAAUAAUCUCGUUACUUACAUUCUACUAACAUACAGAUAUACGACGCAAUAUCAAUCGGAUCAUUCGAGGUUCAGGUACUGUCCAGGAGGAAGGGGUGUUCGCAAAUUGCACAUGUUGUUUGUUCGAAUCAUUUGGAAUUCCCUGCAGACACCUUAUCUGUUACUUAACACUCAACAGUAUAUCAAUUUUACCUCAAACAUUAGUGUGCGAUAGAUGGAGGGCCAUUCAAAAAAACAAACCUUCUGCAACUAGCCACACAACCGAAAAUUUAUGGAUCAAUAACUAGAUUCCAUGAUACAAACAACCAAAUUAUAUAUCGAUAUUGGGAAUCUAAUAGUCGCAAGAACCAAGGGUUGUGGACAUGGGGGGCGACCACCUAAAAAUUCAGAAAGAUUCAUUUCAAGAAGGGAGAGCCAUAUCUCGAAACAAAGAUCAUGUUCUGUGGAAUGAAGAGCCAUGACAAACGUUCUUGCCCAUCAAAGGAGGAUCACAUAAGACAACAAGAGUGAGAUCGUGCGUAUAUAAAGAACUUGGUAGAAUUUUCUAAAUUGAUGACUUAUGCAAUUUCAGAUUAAUGAAUUUUUCAUAUCUAAUAUUGUGUGUUAAAACAACAAUUUCAAUAGUAAUAAUAUUCAAUUGGUUAACUACAUGACAACACCCUAAAUAUUCAUAUUAAAGUUGACAAAUCAAGAAAGCCUUCAAAACACACACAUAAAAACCAUCGGCACGAGUCCACCAUAUCAAUCGUCAAAGGUUGCCAUCACGCGGAUCCCGUCUAAUAGACACAAUUUCGCCGCAUCCAAAUCUUUGUCUAAUACAUAUCCAACAUACCCAAGCGCUAAAGACUCAAUGACCAACAACAUUCGCAGGCCAUUAUCGUCGUCUUUGCAUUUGACCUGCUGGAAACGGGGUUCAAUAUAUCAAUGCCUGAUACAUUAGAAAUUACAAUGAUAUCAACUAAAAAAUAAAUUCCAAUGUACGGGACAAAAUGAGUGAGAAUGUUUGAAUGAUGGUUGAAGAUAACAAGCACAAAAAGGCAUAAAAAAGGCAAUGUUCAUGUUUAUCCUGAUGUUCAAACAUAUCCAAAACAGAAAUAGGAAAUCUGGAAAAUAAAUGGCUAGAUCAAUGGUACAUAUGGCUAAAUAAGCGGUGAUCAUCUUCUUGAUAGAACAAGAAACAUCCACUUUGUUUACAGUAAUAAGAAAUGAAGCAGCAAUAAGAGAGAAGACUUUUAAGAAAAAUAAGAAAAAUAAGCAGUUUACAGUAAACUAAAAAAACCAAAAUUAUGCUAAACACGAAUUUACAGUAAAUAGAACACGAAUCUAUCUUGUUUACCAUAUUUACAUAUCAAAAUAACAACAAACCAAAAUAUUCAGUAAACAAAACAAAUCCGGAAAUCCGAAUCCAAAUAGUCAUAUUCGAAUUCGAAUUCGAAUGCGGAUUCGAAUACGAAUUUCGGUAUACCAUUUACAGUUUACCCAUAAUUAAAAUAAUGUACUGCACAAGAUACUAACACAUGUACGACGAAAAAAAAUGUAUAACAAAAGACACUAAUUCAUGUACGACGAAAUGUCGAUCUAAUGGUUAGGAUUUUUUGGCGCAUUUUGACGUAUUUAAAUUCGACGUAAAGGAAACUUACCCACCAUUGGUCCAAAGGUCCAAAGCUCCUGGAAUAGACGGCUUGACGAUGGAAUUUCUCUCCCACCAUUGGCGAGUGAUGAAGGAUGACUUCCUAUAUGCAAUCUUACAUUUCUUCAACACGAAACGAAUGUUGUGAUCCCUCAACCUAGCAACUUUGACCCUCAUUCCGAAAGUCCAAGUCCCCGAGCGCCUUGAGGACUAUAGGCCAAUAUCGUACAUUGGUAUCACCUACAAGGUUUUCUCAAAAAUCCUAGCGACAAGGCUGACGACAAUACUUCCGAACCUCAUCAGUCAGAAUCAAAUGGCAUUCAUCAAGGGACGUCGGAUUUGUGAUGCAAUUGGCUUGGCACAAGAGUUUACCUAAGGUUUCAACUGCAAGAGCACCUCGAGAAGAGCUUGCGUUACAAUAGACUUUGCCAAAGCAUUCGAUACAGUACGGUGGGAUGCAAUUGAAAUAGUGAUGGAAAUGAUGGGGAUAGACCGCGAAUUUCAAAAUCUAGUCAUGGCUUGUAUAUCCACAGCAUCGGUGUCCGCCUUGGUGGAGGGCUCCCCAACCCAAGCGAUAAAAAUGCAGAGGGGACUGCGACACGGUGAUCCGCUCUCCCCGCUCAUAUUCGUAAUGGUGAAAGAGUACCUCACUAGGCUGGUUGAAGUCGCGGUGAGGGAUAGGAAACUUGAGCUAUAUACAGUCGGAGGUGUCCAAGUCGAAAGUCACCUAGCAUUUGCGGAUGAUGUCACUUUCUUUUAUAGGCAUCGAGGAAAUCUCUAACAACACUGAAGGAGCUUCUGGCAGAGUUUGAAACCUUCUCUGGCCUUAGGAUUAACACCGACAAGAGCUCCAUUAUCCUUUCCAAACGAGUGGUCGACAAAACAGAGUUGGCUCUGAUCCUUGGGUUCCAACUCAAAGAUCUCCCAAUCAAAUACCUAUUCACUCCUCUUACAGGGAAAAUGAUCAAAUAUAGGGAUUGUGAUUGCUUGCUUGCAGAAUUAAAGAACAUAUUUACAAGAUGGACAACCAAGAAGCUCUCCUACAUGGGGAGAAUCCAAUUGGUGGAAUGGGUCUUUCAUGGGAAGUUUGGUUACAUCACACAGAGUAGUGUGAUGCCGCAGGCAGCUAUCCGAGCGAUGCAAUCGAUCACUUAUAGGUUCAUAUGGGGCACCCAACACGAGAUAGUGUGGGAGAUUAUGACAAUGCCGAGAAAGAAUGGAGGAAUAGGAAUCCGUGACUACCGAUCCACACAACAAGCUGCAAUUAUUGGGAGAGCCUGCAGAAUGUGGGAACGGGACAACCUAUGGAGCAAGUGGAUGUGCGAUUGAUACAUCAAAGGCAGGCCAAUCGCGCAAAUUGAAAAGAAACACCUUGACUCUGGAAAUUGGAAAGCUAUCAUCGGGCAGAAGGACUACAUCGCAAAAUGCGCAGUGCUGGGGCCAAACUACGCUAGUAAUUGGAUCAGAAAAGGAUCAUCAGUAGCUACAAAGAACGUGUGAGCUACUCUAUCUCCCUAGCUCCCAAUUGACGAAUUGGCAAAGGGCAUCUGGGCUAACAAAAUCGGUAAGGUAGCUCUCAAUCUUUGGAGGAUAAGGAGGAGGAACCUUCCGACUAAAGAUCGAUUGAUUAAGAGAGGUAUGUCAAUUCCCGGAAACUGUGAACUCUGCAACUCGAGCUCAGAGACAACAGACCACCUAUUCUCGACAUGUGACUACACGAGGUGGAUCUUGGUGGAAGCAAUGGGUGCAGCCGGGGGUUUGGUGAAGCUCAAUGACAUCAACAGUUUCGAAAAUGCUGCAGCUGAGCUAAACAAAGUGACUAAUGGAACACCUCUAUGGGGGCUGGUGUGGAAUAUUUAUGGCACAGCCCUCUUCCACAUAUGGAAGCAAAGGAAUUCAAGGAGGGUGAUGGCACGACGCGAGCCCAAACAGGUGCUGCUGAGACAAAUUCUCGCAGCGACAGAAAUUAGGUUUGAUGAGAGUAAAUUCAAACGAAGGUGCUCUAAUCCGAGUGAACAGAAAGCGUCGCUCCAGUGGGACGCGUUGCAAAUGCUCAUCCACGAAGGAUGAAGGGAGGUUAGCCAAGGCUAACCCCCAUGCGUAGGUUUAACUAUUGUAAUUAUCUUGUUUUAAUUAUCUUUUACAUUAUCUGCUAUGAAUUUUUAUUAUUAAUACAAAGUACCCUAAAUCAAAAAAAAAUGCAAAUUUGGGAAAGAAAUAGCUACAUCGAUAAUAAAAAACUUUUAAGAAAAAUAAGAGAGAAAACUUUUACACCUCAUAAGAAAAAUAAGAAAUGAAGCAGCAAUAAGAGAGAAGUCUUUUAAGAAAAAUAAGCAGUUCACAGUAAAGUCAAAUAAACCAAAAUUAUGCUAAACACGAAUUUACAGUAAAUAGAACACGAAUCUAUCUUGUUUAUCAUAUUUACAUAUCAAAAUAACAACAAACCAAAAUAUUCAGAAUCCGAAUAGUCAUAUUCGAAUUCGAAUGCGAUUUCGAAUACGAAUUUCGGUAUACCAUUUACAGUUUACCCAUAGUUAAAAUAAGGUACUGCACAAGAUACUAACACAUGUACGACGAAAAAAAAUGUACAACAAAAGACACUAAUUCAUGUACGACGAAAUGUCGAUCUAAUGGUCAGGAUUUUUUGACGCAUUUUGACGUAUUUAAAUUCGAUGUAAAGGAAACUUACCCUAUAGUUAUAUAACUUUAUAAAGAUUCAGUUUUUAAGUCUCGUUAUUUACGUAUUUUUGUAUAUAUCUCUGAAAAGAAAAAAGUAGGUAGAUAUUUGCACAUCUUUUAAAAAAAUAUCGUAAAUAAAAUAAAAUUGAAUAACUGAAUUAUUCAGUUAUAAUUAUUCGUUAAUUACUUACAAAUAUAAGAUUGAAUGAUCGGAAGGUGAAUUGAAACUUGUGAUUUCAGUGCAAUGAAUUGACUGCUUGAUUUAGUUGACUUUUGAUUCAUUUUAGUAACGUACAAGUUAUGAGAAUUGAAGAAGAUCGUUUCUUUAAUCUUCAAAUCGGGUUAGGCUAUGAAAGAGACGACCAACAGUCAACGCAGAUGACAUCAUCGGAGGGACCGACAAGGUACAAAUGGUAGAAGCGUCAUAAAAAAAGCCACUAGUAAAGAAAGAGUGCUCGGUGGGGUUAGGAAAAUUUGGGGUGUCGGCGAUCAUUGGAGGAAAAAAAGAAUAUCAUGAUUAUAUAUUUGAGAAUUUUUGUAUACAUCAAGGUCCAAAACCCAAACAAAUUAUAUUAAUACAGAAUGCAUCAGGUAAGAUGUCAAAUAUAAAAUAUUGAUUAGAUAUUUGAUUUCAAUCUCCUCAAGAUAUUGGAGAUUGUCAUCGUCGUCGUCUUCUUCUUCUUUUUGUUUCUUCAAACAUAUCGUGAACUACAUAGAGGGCGACGAUGAAAGAAAGAUCAACUUCUUGAAAGAUUUCGAGUCGACGGGUCUCUUUCAGCUUUAGAAAAUUUUGCAGUUUGUUGAUGGUUUUUAUCUGCAACAUAUAUUUGUUAAUAUACAUGUUCAAGUAAACCGGAUGAUGAUGAUGAUAGAUAGAUAGAUAAAUAGAUACCUUUGCGACCACAGCAUCGGAAUCUCCACUGUGAAAAUAGUAGGAUUCCGAAAACAAUUUCUUCUUGAUCUUGAAAUCGCAAGGUUUCCUUGCCAUAUUUGUCACCGCAAAAACAUCCAUUAUGCUACUGAAUUCAAAUAUUGAGGAAGCAUUGGCCGUCCAAAGCAAAUUCGAUUGAUCUAUGGAAUCACCUCUGAAAAUUCUGUACUCAUCUAUUGAAAACCAUUCCUUCAAUGGAUUUAAAUUUUUUAGAAAAAUGAAUCAACUCUUUGAAAUCAAUCAAUUGAUCAUAGAUUUGAAAAUAUAAAUUAAUUAUAUACAU
rnacentral:lncRNA from 1 species